UCGCCUUCAGCCCCUUCUCUCCGCCUCGUCCUCCUCUCCGGCGCCGCCACCCCACCCCCUCUAUCCAGCGGUGUCGCCUCUCCUCCCUGGAGCGUGAGCUGCCGCCUCGCCGGCGCCCCUCCUCCUCCUCCUAUCUUCUGCCGUCUCGCCGCUGCAGUCGUCCCCGUGAGCAAGCUAUCCAGGCUAGGGUUCAUCGGAAAGAUAUGAAAAAAAUCCCCAUUCCCUCCGCCGUCUACUAUGCCCCGCUGCCCACCUACUCUUCCUCUCUGCAGCAUUGUGUUCAUCCUCGACGCAGAAGGAUAGCGUGGACUGCAGAGACGCCCUGCCGCCGUGCUCCUUUUUGUUGAUCCCCUUCCAUCUGAUUGGCCAAUGAGGGAAGGUCCAAGAGGUCUGCGGUGGGGUUGGAGCAGCGAGGUCGGAGACCCAGGCGGUGGACGCCUCAUCGGGUAGAGGAGAGGUUGACAAUACGGACAAGGAGCAGUAGUGUCAUGGAUCUGCAGGGGAAGCGUCAUCGAGGGAUGGCUGGUGUCAAGAGAUGAAGGUACGCCAAUAUGAGGAGCAUGUGCAACUCAAGAUUUUAGUACAAGAUCUUGAAAGUAAGUAUGGAAGGAAUCAUUGCCUCUGUGCUUAGCUUUACUUGUUGAUUUCAGCUACAAUGCCUCUUUUUGACGUGUCUCUGCUACCGUAGUUGAUUUUUUCAUGCUCCCUGUUGUUUUAUUCAUCAUAUGGUACAUGCAUAUUAGGUCGUAGACUACCACCUGUUUUAUCCAUCCAAACCAUGUUGAACGUUGACAAUACUCUGAUAUUUCAUCUUCGAAUUGGUCUGUUUUUUAGGCAGAUUCAAACUAUUAUUUUCCAAAUUUCUAAAGGUGAAAGUAUUAUGACCUUGGCCAUGUUUGUAGAAAUAAAUUUGGGAAUAUUGUUUAAAUAUGGCACUGCAAUAAAUGGUAUUGGGUUAACAAUUAGUACAAUACAUUCAGUUUGGGCUGAAUGCCAGAAUGUUACCGAGACAUCGAGACUUGAAGAAUCUGACUCUACUUUUAACAUUUCUUUGGGAUGCAGAGAGGAGCUUACAGACCUUAAUAAACAAGAACGUGGUAUUAUGUGAUCUUGCUAACCUUUAUUGCUCUACAGGAUCAACCUGAUCUCUUUCUGCACAUCAGGUUCCUGUCGCCGCUGUUGUCAUAAUGGCUUGCAAUCGACCAGACUAUUUGCAGAGGACAGUUGAAUCUAUCCUCAAUUACGCUCUGUUUUCUCCAUCCCUUCAUUUCCCAAAAGAAGAUAAAUUCCGCCGUCUGCUGUUUCUUUUAAUGGCACCCAGAGCACAUUCAGUUGAUGACACCUGUCACUUAUAUGUGAAAAAAAAUUAAUCAAGUUGCACUCUUUAUCACCUCACCAGUCAUACAACAUCUCUUAGGAAACUUGUAUAGUAUUACUCCCUAAUCUUUUUAUGAAGCUAUUUGCUUCUUCCAUAUCUAUGUAGCUUCAGUUUGUAGAACACCCUUCCUGACUAAAUAAAUAAUGGAUGAUAACUCUUCCAGGUUCCAGAAAGCAGUUGCCUCAAAGUUUCUACUUUUUAUAUCACAAGUAUUGCUAAUAGCAAUUUCAGUUCUUGUUCUCAGUCACUUUAAGUGUGUAUGAAGAAUAUUUUUACAUUGCUUCUUCCAAUCGCAGGAUGGAACAAAUGGAGAAGUGAAAAAGAAAGCUUUGAGUUACACUCAAAUAACAUUUAUGCAGGACGUGUCCAAUGCGGCGCUACUUGCCUAUCGUGAAUCGUGAGCUUUGUUGGCAUUGCUGGUUCAGGAAGAGUUUGACGCCGCUCGACAUUUUCACCUCAAAAAUAAAAAGAGUCUGACGCCUACCAAUUCUCCUGCCAAGGAUACUCCUAUCGACGGCCGAUCGACAAUUUGAGGUCACCGAAUGAAAUGAAAAUAAACAGCUGACUUUGGGACAACUCAUUGCAUCCAUGAUCCACAUGUCAGAUGCCCUUAUACUUUCCCAUGCUUUUAAGUCACUUGCUCAAAAUUAUGAGUUAAUAUUUUCGUUCUCAAGUUGUCACUAUUGCACGAAAAAAUUCAGUAGAUACUUGUUCUUCUUCGAAUCUAGGCAUGUGUUGUUCGCAUCACUGUCUAUUUCAUGCAAAUGCAACCAUGUUUGCUUUGCAGAUAUAGUUUCCCCUGCGUGAUGCAUCUAGGUUGUGUUUGUAGUCGUAAAUACAAUUUUAAUGUACAAAAUGUAAGUGGCUUCUUUUACCUCAUAUUUUUUUAAUCUCUGGACUCAUUGGGUCCUUAUCUCGAACAAGUCUUGGAAAAUAACACAUGCAUGUCCUACUGUUACUCCUUACUAGAAAAAAUUCGGAAAGCAGGCAGGAACUAUACAUGAUUGACAAAAUUGGCAGUCAUAUUUUUCUAACUAGAAUAGGCAGAAACUAUGCAUACAAACAUCACUUUGAUAUCUUUUAACUAAGCAAAUUGUAAAUUUGAUUUCAUAAAAUGAAAUUGAUUGCUUUCAGAAAUUAGUUCAGAACUGCUCAAUGAGACAUUUAUGAUUACCUCUAUAAUAGGCCAGUCCCUUUUUCUACCAAACCGAUAAAUAUCUAAUAAACCCGAUUCCACGGGGUACAAAGGGACCAGAACGCCAGUAGCCAUGUCCCAUGGCUUAAUGUGAUAUUCCCAAUAGGUUUCUGUAAUGGCUAGGCAUCUCUUUGAUUCUGUGUGGGAAUGUUAGAGAUUUGCAAAACUGUUUGCUACAAUCUUAGUUACACCUGCAAUUGUGUUUAUAUAGGACAGAGCUCUGCCGUUUCAGUGGUGCCAAGAUAUACAAUGAUCUGGAUAUUCAUGCUGAGGCUGCAAAGAAGAUGCGCCGCACCACCAAGAGGCCAUAUAGAAAUAAGUUGUUAACAUGCAAGCUGGCUGAAGGAUAGUCUUAGCAAGUGACAUCCCAAUGACAGAAAAACGAAGAUUAUUUACAAUAGCAUUCCGGCCUGGCGGAAGGGAAUGAAGAUGUACACCGCCAGGAAGAAAAUCCAGAAGGACAAGGGCAUCGAGCCCUCCGAAUUCGAGGAUGCCAUCGCGUGGGCUGCAAAUAAUCUUGUAGCUGCGACGGCGGUGGCACCUUCAGUUCUUGCUUGCAGGGCACCUACUGCAGAUACACCUUCUAGAUCAGAGUCCUCCCAUCUGGGUGCCACCGUCGUCCUCGCACCGUCACACGCGGUGUCGGAGACAUGGACGAGGUCAAGCAGUCUCUGCCUUUGUCUUCUUCCCUCGCCGUGAGGAGCUGAGGAUACAGACGAGGAGGCCAAGGAAACUGUGGCAUCUUCAUCGUCGUUCUCUCGGCGCGCGGUGUUGAAGAGAUGGCCAAAGGAGGCUGGGGGCUGAAAGUGCGGCACACUGUAGUGUUUGUUUGAUGGGGAACCAUCUUUGUAUGCCAGCAUAUUUGUAGUGGUUUGUUUGAUGGGAACUACCUUUAUAUGUCCGCAUAUUUUGCUUAUGUAUUAAUGAUUCCAUGCUAAAUUUCUACUCCUUACUAAAAGA